GAACGGCGACGCCGACACCGGACGCUCGCAGUUCCUGCUGGCCAGCGUGCUGGACGAGGACGAGAUGACGCAAGGCGAGCGACAGCUGGGCAGAGCUGACCGGAGCGCGUUCGUGCAGGAGAUCGUGUUGUCGACACUGUCCGAGUCGGUGGAGGCCGUGUCGAUAGCUGAUCCGCCGCCGCGCGCUGCCGCCCCAGACCAGAAGACGAGCGGUCCAGCGGCGCGGUCGGCCGCUGCCAGCG
rnacentral:lncRNA from 1 species